rnacentral:rRNA from 1 species
ACGUAGGCAGCAAGCGUUGUUCGGAAUUACUGGGCGUAAAAAGUGCGUAGGCGGUGCUCUAAGUUUGGUGUGAAAUCUCCCGGCUCAACUGGGAGGGUGCGCCGAAGACUGGAGUGCUUGAGUAUGGGAGAGGAAAGCGGAAUUCCUGGUGUAGCGGUGAAAUGCGUAGAUAUCAGGAGGAACACCUGCGGUGUAGACGGCUUUCUGGACCAUGACUGACGCUGAGGCACGAAAGCGUGGGGAGCAAACA